rnacentral:piRNA from 1 species
GGUCAUGAGUUUUGGUGUCUAUGCUUCC